AUGGCUGAAGCUUUGGCGUUAAAAUUUGGCCUAUCGCUUGCGCAAAGGACGGGUUGUAAUCGCAUAACUAUUAACUCGGAUAAUAUGGAGGUGAUCGAGACCAUGAACGAAGGAGGACGAUCGUCGGUGGCAGCAGCUGCAAUUUUUGAUGAAUGUUUUCACUUAGCUUGCGAUUUUCCUAUUUCUAGAUUCGAGCAUUGUAAUAGGGAAGCAAAUAAAGUUGCUCAUGAACUUGCCAUGUUGGCUAGAUUUUCAUUCAUUUCUGAUUGGUUUGAGGAACCACAUAAUGCAAUUGUACCAAUCCUCAUAAAUGAUGUAAUGAUUAUUUCUAAUGAAUAA
rnacentral:rRNA from 1 species